UUGCUCCAGCAGCUUAUAUACUAAAAUUGAAAUUAUACAGAGAAGAUUAGCAUGGUCCCUGCAUAAGAAUGACAUGUAAAUUCAUGAAGUGUUCUAUAAUUUU
ensembl:snRNA U6 U6 spliceosomal RNA